rnacentral:rRNA from 1 species
AGCAGCCGCGGUAAUUCCAGCUCCAAUAGCGUAUAUUAAAGUUGUUGCAGUUAAAAAGCUCGUAGUUGAAUUUCGAGAUCAAAUUGUUGGUCGUGCCUUGGUACGCACUGGCAUUAUUGGUUUCUCCCUUCUGACGAACCAUGAUGUCAUUAAUUUGGUGUCUUGGGGAAUCAGGACUGUUACUUUGAAAAAAUUAGAGUGUUUAAAGCAGGCUCACGCUUGAAUACAUUAGCAUGGAAUAAUGAAAUAGGACGUUUGAUUCUAUUUUGUUGGUUUCUAGGAUCGACGUAAUGAUUAAUAGGGAUAGUUGGGGGCAUUAGUAUUCAAUUGUCAGAGGUGAAAUUCUUGGAUUUAUUGAAGACUAACUACUGCGAAAGCAUUUGCCAAGGAUGUUUUCAUUAAUCAAGAACGAAAGUUAGGGGAUCGAAGACGAUCAGAUACCGUCGUAGUCUUAACCAUAAACUAUGCCGACUAGGGAUCGGAUGAUGUUAAUUUUUAANGACUCAUUC